UCGUCAGUCCCGCUUCCAGUUAAACAUUUACCGUGCACGCAUCAGGCCAGCGAACACCGAGCAGGCGGACGCGGACGGGACGACGACUGUGUGUGUGGCGUGCUCCAUCGUUUUAGAAUUUUGACUCUGCCCCGAACCCAGUGUAACGGUCAAACGAAAUUGAAAACGGACAAAAUUAAACCCCAGCAUCAGCAUCGGACCCCCAAAAAAGAAAGAGAUGCAAAAUAUAAUUUAAAUAAUUAUAAUACGAACGUGCGUGAGAAUUCCAACAAACAAAAUAAAUAAAAGUGAGAGUUGUGUUGAGGAAAUAUUUAAAUGGAAAUCUGCGGAAAGUCUGUUUGUGCUACUUGAAUGAAAAAUAAAUGCCAUUAGUGUGUGGAAAACAGCAAAUAUUUAUUCCUCUACAAGUAUAAGUAAAAUCACGAAAAAUCAAGAAAAGAAAAAUCAUUUGAAUGGAAAAGUGCUUGAGUCGAAAAUUGAAACUGUGGAACUAGAAUUUUCCACCGCACCGCACCGCACAAAAACUCAUUGUCUGUUGUCUCAGUUUCCAUUUCACUCACAUAUGUAUUUUCCAAUAUUCUGUGUGCUAUUAUUAAGAUAAUCAGUGCGACACUUGCCACCUGUUUGGCAGCAUUUUCGAAAAUACAUUUCUAUGCUAAAGACUUUCCGAAAGAAAGCCGUGAAAGUGAGAGUGAUUGAGCGUGCUGUUGACCCCCGCCCCAUAGUACACAUACGAGUACGAGUACGAGGGCGAGACAGGGCCACAAGGCAAGGUGUUGAGGAGGUCUGAAGAGGUCUAAGCCCUAAAGAGAGACAGCCGUACGGGGAAAAAAACAGAAAGAAGAAGGAAGAAAGGGCCGUCGACAAUCAGCAGAACAGAUCCACUCCAGCCAUAAAUCCCAGCCACAAACAGCCACUCCGGAGAUUGUCCGGUAUAGAUAUAGUGGAGUAAUACCCAUAAAAGUCAAUGUUCUGGGCGACAUCAAGCGAAAUCAUUUAAUAGGCAGCCGGCAGCUACGUUUUUAUUAAGCA